AGAAGACAUUUUAAUUUACCAGGAAAGUUGAUUGAGAGGACAAUUUAAUUUACCAGGAAAGUUGACUGAGAAGACAUUUUAAUUUACCAGGAAUGUUGACUGAGAAGACAAUUUAAUUUACCAGGGAAAGUUGACUGAGAAGACAAUUUAAUUUACCAGGAAAGUUGAUUGAGAAGACAGUUUAAUUUACCAGGAAAGUUGACUGAGAAGACAAUUUAAUUUACCAGGAAAGUUGACUGAGAAGACAAUUUCAUUUACCAGGAAAGUUGACUGAGAAGACAAUUUCAUUUACCAGGAAAGUUGACUGAGAAGACAAUUUAAUUUACCAGGAAAGUUGACUGAGAAGACAAUUUAAUUUACCAGGAAAGUUGACUGAGAAGACCAUUUAAUUUACCAGGAAAGUUGACUGAGAAGACAAUUUAAUUUACUAGGAGUUGACUGAGAAGAUAAUUUAAUUUACCAGGAAAGUUGACUGAGAAGACAAUUUAAUUUACCAGGAAAGUUGACUGAGAGGACAAUUGAAUUUACUAGGAAAGUUGACUGAGAAGACAAUUGAAUUUACUAGGAAAGUUGACUGAGAAGACAAUUGAAUUUACUAGGAAAGUUGACUGAGAGGACAAUUGAAUUUACCAGGAAAGUUGACUGAGAAGACAAUUUAAUUUACCAGGAAAGUUGACUGAGAAGACAAUUUAAUUUACCAGGAAAGUUGACUGAGAAGACAAUUUAAUUUACCAGGAAAGUUGACUGAGAAGACAGUUUAAUUUACCAGGAAAGUUGACUGAGAAGACAAUUUAAUUUACCAGGAAAGUUGACUGAGAAGACAGUUUAAUUUACCAGGAAAGUUGACUGAGAAGACAAUUUAAUUUACCAGGAAAGUUGACUGAGAAGACAGUUUAAUUUACCAGGAAAGUUGACUGAGAGGACAAUUUAAUUUACUAGGAAAGUUGACUGAGAAGACAGUUUAAUUUACCAGGAAAGUUGACUGAGAAGACAGUUUAAUUUACCAGUGUAACGGCAGAUCUCCUCUUCGUCUGAAGAGGAGUAAGGACCAGACCAAGAUGCAGCGUGGUGCUGCAGAAGCUUCAGAACCAGCACCUUCAGCACCCCUACCUCCUGCAGCGUUGGUGUUAUAGAUACUGGAGGAGAUGGACUGUCUUUUCAACAUGUCAUCAUCACUGUUGCUGUUGGUUUGGUUGAUGCAAAAAGUCAGACAUCUUCAGCUGUGGAGACAAUAAAAAAAUCAAAACCAUGUAAUUUGCAAAGUCCAAGUCAACGUAUAUCUGUACUACGAGUCCUUGGGCAACGUCUUGUAUGGCAAGAACAGGCCAAUGUGGAAGCUGCCUGAACCCUUCACAGAGAGGUUGCAUCCUGUUUAUGGUCAUUCCUCUCCAUGAAGAGACCAUCAACGACCAGAUGAUGGUCCCCUUCAGUCAGGUGGACAUUGACAGUGCUGAGGUCAAGCUCAGCCCUCCACCGAACCCGCUGAAGCAAACAGGACUAAUGAAAACAAAAACACAUUGACGGAGUGAAACAGAAUGCCUUUGUCACAAACACCAGGAGUGGUGGGUGCAGAGUCAGAUGCAGAGAGCAGAGGAUACUGGGGAACCGACUUCAUUAGGAUUCCCAAAACCAACGCCCAAAACAACGCACAAACACAGGGC